rnacentral:lncRNA from 1 species
GACAUGACAAGAAUUUCUUUAAUCAAGAAAAUCACAUGAGAUAUGCAGCAGAACCCAAAAGGUAAAACAUUAUUAUGCAAGAAUGAUGAGAAAAAGAGGGAUGGGGUGACAAAUUUCUAUUGAAAUAGUUCAAAAUAGACCUCAUCUCUUUCUGGUACCGGCGGAAGCCUGAAUCACUAUAUACAUGGAUCACCAUUUUGAAAGGCAGGUUGUCACUUGAUAGAUCAUUAAUUUUAUGGAAGUUAUAGUAACACUUGAAAGCAGCAGGAAAGCGCUUUUCUCUGAGGUUGCCACGUGAUAGAUCAUUAAUUUUAUGGAAGUUAUAGUAACACUUGAAAGCAGCAGGAAAGCGCUUUUCUCUCAUCAAACGAACCAUUUCCUGGAGUAAGUGG